GGCGUUUUGGCCGAGCGGUCUAAGGCGCUAGCUUAAGGCGCUAGUCCGAAAGGGCGUGAGUUCGAAUCUCACAGACGUCA
rnacentral:tRNA from 3 species